UAUACUUGUAUGUAUAAUCUGCAUAUUAGGGUCCUUUUGUCUACAGUGGUCAAACUUACUGUUUCCUUACUGAUGCUUAUUCUGUUUAUUCUUUUAGGGAUAGGCCAAUGAUAGAGGUCAUACCUUUGAGCCUUCUCCUUACCCUACAUAAGUAUGAUCCCAGUGCCAUUUUGGUUUGUCCUUUGAGUCAAGUUAAACAUUUAUUAAAUAUUUGAGUACAAAAGUGGUGUACCUAAGAGCUAUGAGUGAUACAGAAGUUGAGCUCUUUUCCUUAUGAAGUUUGCUUUGUGGGAGAAUAAGAGCAAAAUGUGUGUACAUGAAGGGAGAUUUCUGUAGAGUGUUUCCUUAACUAGGUUGCAGUUAUUC